GUCUGAGACAUGGUUUGUGGAAAUCAAACAUCGACGUGGCUCUCAUGUUUAAAUAAAUCCUGGGAAUUGGGGAAGGAUGUGAAGUGUCCAGGUCAAGACUGUUAUUUACCAAAUUGAAAAUUUGAGCUGACAGCCUCAAACACAUAAUGCUGUAACUUUUGGGAUAGCUGGAUGGAGCAAGGAGCAGAGAGGAGUGACUGGAAUCACAGGAGACAUCAGUGGCAGCCUCAGGGGAAUCACUUGAAAGAAUGAACCACUGUUGUCUGAGCAAUAGUAAGGACAGCAGCCAGCGAGGUGUGUACAGUCUUUGGGGAGUAUUUUUGAUGUUCCUGCUUCGACUGGAGUAAAAUCAGGCACAGGAAUGAGGCUGAUCAGCCGUAGCCUCUGCUGUCUGCAUGUCCAGGAACAGCUUUCCAAGUAUCCUCUGAUCCUGCCCAAAGUCUUCUGGCCAACAGGAAGCAUCAGUGGGGCACAGGGCUCGUCAGCCCAAGCCUCCAGUGCAGAGCUGGCUGGUAACUGUGGUGGGAGCACAUGCAGUUCCUGCCAAUGUGCAAAAGGAAAAGCACCUUCCGUUGGAGAAAACACCAUUGGUAAUUCCUAAUGUCAGAGUGCUACAUGAGUAAAUGAAAAGAAUGCGCACUCCUUAUUCCCCUCCCAGAAACAAACCCCUAGGGGAAAUCCUUUAACUUCUCUCCACCUAAGACCCCAGCUGAGUUUCCGUCUUGCCUUCUCCCCGUAUUCACACACAGCCCAUGAUUUGAACUGAGUGUGAAAGGGGCAGAGGUGUAGGUAUGGAGAGUGGAUAUAACCCUGCACAUUUUCUCUGGGCUCUCAGCCAUGUUUUCCAACACUGUUGCAUUUUGCGUUUAUAGCACAGCAAAGAUUUUCUUGCUCAUUUAAUUUUCUCUUCCCAUGCUGCAGGGCUUAGUUCAUUAGCUUAAAAGACUGUCACGCUUCUGGAGAACAGAAUAUAUUUGGCAGGAGUUUUGUGGAUAGUAAUUAUCUAAAAAUUCAAUCAAGCCAUUUUUUGAUUGAUUUUUGGGAUGAGAUAUAUAGGCUUCAGUGGAAUUAAUUGCAUCCUAGUAUUUUUUUUUUUAAAUUUAUGUUUUAAGCAUCAGAUUGCCCCACCACUCCCACUUUCUUUGGUACAUUUAUUUUUUCCUCUUACCAACUAUAUACAGUCACUUCUAGGUAAAUGCUCUGCCUGCAUUGAUUUAUUAAAUAUAUCUUCCAGUGAUAUUAGUAUUGUAACACCCAUGUAGCUGAAAGGAAUUUUUACAGAAGGAUAAUUUUCAGUCUUAAAAAUGCCACUGGCCAAGCAAGUAGACUUUCCUGAAAACUGCAGAAGGUACAUGAACAUAAAAUAACACUGAUUGUGACUGAUGACCACUUCUUAUGGAAUUAAUUUUCAUUACAUGAAUUCAAUGUAUUAGGCUUAAGGAGCUAUUUUAAAUAGCAGUAAAAACAAAAAAUAUGAGACGUAAAUUAUAAGAGCAGUAAUGCUAAAGCUGCUGUUAUGAGACACUGCUUGCUGAUCGGCCUUGAUGAGAAAAUGUUGCUCAGAAAAAUGCCCCAUCAGUGUUGUGAUACCAUCACAUCCCCUGCUCCAGGGGAUGCCAAAAAAAGCCUGUUCAGAUCUGUAUCUCUACAUUUCCAGCUGUGGUGGAUUAGAAAGUAGCAAAGAGAAUUUCUCAGAGACUGAUUUAUUAACCUGGUUGAGCAAUUUUUUCUGGAUCUGUUCUGUAUCAGUUGCACAGACUGAUUUGUAAGAAAAUAAGACUGAAAAUUCACAUGGAGGAAAGCAACAAAGCCAACAGCAAAAACGCCAAGAAAGCCUUGAACUGCCUGUAUCACCUUCUUCCCUCCUAAAUUCUCCUGAGGACUCGUGCACUCUGAAACGUCUGAUGCUUUGGGAACAUGACACCCAUUAAAUGGCACAGGAAUCCAGUGUGAGGACUGGGUUUUGGUAAAAUGGAAGGUGGCUGAGUUUGGGGGUGGAGAGGGCGCUGGGGUUACAUCAGGAGUUGAUACUGGAGAUUGGAAUUUCCCCUUUUUCUAAUAGCAGAGGAUUUUUUUCCUAUGGUUUGCUUAACUAAAAUAAUUUGGUCUUCUCAAGAGUAUCUGAUAGAGAAUUCUGGGGGUGAAAAAAAAAAGUGGUGCUAAAACCAAUCCGCAUUUUCUCCAUAGCGGAACUUUAAACUUUUUCAGCUGUUGUUUUCUCAUUGUUUUAAUGGAUCUUACUUCCUGUUACAGAAUGGGGUCUCAGGUUUUGGAGCACUGUGAAGGUAUAUAAUAAGGGAACUGAAUGGUGUGAACCCUUUGGGACUUACUGCUUUAAUGUCUGCAGCAACUCCAUUGCCAGUAGGGUUUGCAAGUACACAGGACACUGUAGUGACUGGUGCACCUGCAGUUACUAAU